rnacentral:rRNA from 1 species
CAAUAGCGUAUAUUAAAGUUGUUGCAGUUAAAAAGCUCGUAGUUGGACUUCUGGUCGGAAGCUCCUGUCCUCUGAUGAGCGUACAAGUGCGUCCUACCAUCCUUCUGUUAACCUUUAAGGCUUUCGCGGCUUUCUAGGGGCUCAGAUAUUUUACCUUGAGAAAAUUAGAGUGUUUCAGGCAGGCUAGCGCCGGAAUACAUUAGCAUGGAAUAAUGGAAUAGGACUUUUGCCUCUUCUGUUGGUCAUGAGGCUCGAGUAAUGAUUAAUAGGGAUAGUUGGGGGCAUUAGUACUUAACUGUCAGAGGUGAAAUUCUCGGAUUUGUUAAAGACUAACUUAUGCGAAAGCAUUUGCCAAGGAUGUUUUCAUUAA